rnacentral:rRNA from 1 species
CCUACGGGUGACAGCAGUGAGGAAUAUUGGUCAAUGGGCUUACGCCUGAACCAGCCAAGUCGCGUGAGGGAAGACUGCCCUAUGGGUUGUAAACCUCUUUUGUCAGGGAGCAAUUGGCGCUACGUGUAGCGUUAUCGAGAGUACCUGAAGAAAAAGCAUCGGCAAACUCCGUGCCAGCAGCCGCGGUAAUACGGAGGAUGCGAGCGUUAUCCGGAUUUAUUGGGUUUAAAGGGUGCGUAGGCGGAAUGCCAAGUCAGCGGUAAAAUCGCGGGGCUCAACCUCGCUCCGACGUUGAAACUGGCGUGCUUGAGUGGGCGAGAAGUAUGCGGAAUGCGUGGUGGAGCGGUGAAAUGCAUAGAGAUCAUACAGAACACCGAUUGCGAAGGCAGCUUAUCAAGCUACUUCUGACGUUGAGGCACGAAAGCGUGGGGAGCAAACAGGAUUAGAUACCCUGGUAGUC